rnacentral:snoRNA from 1 species
UAGAUACUGAACUUUGAGGGCAAAUUCACUCUAGCUCAAAUAGAGGCCCAAAGGACUGUCUUCCUGUGAUCUGUUGGCUGUUAUGGAACCUCAGCGAGAAUGGCUGUUUCAUUUGGAAGAAGCAACC